rnacentral:rRNA from 1 species
GAUGAACGCUAGCUACAGGCUUAACACAUGCAAGUCGAGGGCAGCAUGAACUUAGCUUGCUAAGUUGAUGGCGACCGGCGCACGGGUGAGUAACACGUAUCCAACCUGCCGAUGACUCGGGGAUAGCCUUUCGAAAGAAAGAUUAAUACCCGAUGGCAUAGUUCUUCCGCAUGGUAGAACUAUUAAAGAACUUCGGUCAUCGAUGGGGAUGCGUUCCAUUAGGUUGUUGGCGGGGUAACGGCCCACCAAGCCUUCGAUGGAUAGGGGGUUCUGAGAGGAAGGUCCCCCACAUUGGAACUGAGACACGGUCCAAACUCCUACGGGAGGCAGCAGUGAGGAAUAUUGGUCAAUGGACGAGAGUCUGAACCAGCCAAGUAGCGUGAAGGAUGACUGCCCUAUGGGUUGUAAACUUCUUUUAUACGGGAAUAAAGUGAGGCACGUGUGCCUUUUUGUAUGUACCGUAUGAAUAAGGAUCGGCUAACUCCGUG